UUUAUAACGGGCCGGCGGACCUCCGGCCGAUCACGCUCGUGGAAAGCCGCGUAAUAAUGGACCGUGAAGGCUUCCUCGCAAUCCUAGUCGAGCUGGGUCUCAUCUGCUUGGGCGUGUAUCUCGGCUGGGUGGUCGCGGAGUUCCUCGUCCAAUGCUUUUACUUGACGAGGAAGGUGGUUCGCUGGAUCCGGGGCCGCGGCGACGGCCUGGCGGUGGGAGGGGAUGGCCAGGCCCAGGCGGCGGCGGCCGGCGCCGCGGUGUGAAGCUCCAACAACGCUGCUAGCUCCGGCAGGUGGACGUCCUCGACGAUUCUGACGGCGUCCCGUGGAAGAAGGCUUGCUGUGGAGCGGACAUGCGCCGGAGGAAGACGUACGGACGGACGUGGAGCUAGUAGCAUGCUAUUCUGGGAUCUGCUUGGACACUAUGAGUUGAAACGGCCAGCCUUGCCCUUCAUCAUCAGUUCUACUUCAUCCUGUGUCGUUGUUUUCUGCAUGCUCUGUGUUUGAUCGUACCUACUACUAGUACUCUAUAAUUCUGCUCUUGGUAGGGACUUUGAGUGUGUAAGUAUAGUAGAUGGAUCUGAAGUUUGGCAUGUAGUACUACGUGUCUGAGACCCUGUUCCGUCAACAACUUGUUAAUUAAUGAAGGGAGAGGUGGCCGUUAA